CCCAGCAGAGGCACGCAAUUGUAUUUUUCAUUAGAAAGCUCUUAGACAAGGCAAACAUUGAAACCUAUCUAAAAGAUGAAGAUCUUGGUAGAAUCUUUCCAAGACCUCUUGGCUCUCGAAUCCAGAACUGACUUCAGUACCUGGCCCCUGGGAUCAGAGCUCAGCAUGAAAGAAAGCCGGACAUCAUCCAAGUCGAGCAGUGAAUGGAUGAAGUGGGAGCGUUCCACUUUCAAAACGAAAUGACCGCCCAUCUUGUGCCAAACCUGACGGAAAUUAGUCGACGGACUGAUCUGACUCCAGAAGAUCGUGGGGAACCACAUUCUGAGCCCGCGGGUUCUGAUUGCAAGUGAAAUCGCAACACCUCUUUCCCGCUCUGGUCAACCCUCCUCCCUGCCACAUCUGGAAGGAGCCGAGCCAGGGGACCCCGGCAGAAGACCCUUUUACCCUCGGCUGUGGUGGCAAAUCCAUUAGAACCCUCCCACCCCAGGAAAGGAUUGGAAGAGGCUACUGAAUGCCGGCAGCAGGGAUGAUGCCAGCCUUUUGUGUUUUGGAUGGCGAUCAUGCUAAAGGGCAACAAACCCCUCUCCUGUUGGUCCUCUGUGGGCAUCCCUCCCUCACAAACGCUCACUUGUUCCCGGUCCCAGGCAUCCCCGGCUUCCGACGCCAUGACCUCAGGAUUCCUGCAGCUGCGGGGUGAAUGGGAGCAUUUUCUCACUGAGCUGAGCUUCUGAGUAGCCUUGGGUGGCACAGAAUCCUGGCAUUCAUGCAUGCUGUCAAGUUGUCAAGACAUCUGAUUCAAAGCUUUCUGAAAAAGCGGCUCCUUGUCUAACCCAUCGCUUGGAGGAAGCCAAGCCCCACGAGGGACAGAGGAGCGGCAGGGGGAGGUGCAGAGAGCACGGCAGCCAGCCCAGAAGAUUGCUGUAGAGACAUAAAUGUUUUCCUUUGCCUUCUCUUUAUGAUUCCGCACUGCCUGCGGGGAAGAGUUUCCGGGAGUCAAUGUCAAAGACCUCUUGGUGGCAGAUGCCGGGUCCGAUGUGGUCAUUGAGUGGCCAACUGCUUCGAAGUUAGCUUUGCAGAAGUAAUACUAUACUACUACUACUAACUGUGAUAUUUGUUAAGCACUUACUAUGUGCCAGGCACUGUCGUAAGCACU